GUGUCAUCCGGCUCAUCCUCCUCCUCAAGUACCUGCGAGGGGACCUCAGGGACCUGAUUUGGAGCCAGCAGGUCACCUCUGUUGGUCUGGGCCAAUAAAUACUCCACUGCUAUGCGCUUCGCCUUAGGUUUCCCGGGUGGAGUGAACUCUGGCACCAGAGUGGAACCAAGAACGCGCUGGCUUAAGUUGCUGAGGUGGGACAUCAAGCGGACAUCAAAGCUUCUGAGGGUUGAGGCCCCCCUCCACAUCUACUGCCUCCUUGGCCCGGCCCAUGUUCCACCUCGAUACUCCCUCCAGCAUGUACAUCUGUGUGUGAACAGCAUUGCACCGCCAGCCUAAGGAACAAUAAAUACUAUGUUUAGUCAACCAUUAUUGUAAAGUGAAUACACAUGAAUACCCGACAGUGGUCAUUUUGUUAUUUUGAAUAAUUACAACACAUUCUCUGUCCUAACAGAAAAGAACAUUAAAAAAAGAAAUGUACCUGGAAUAAAAGCACACUGGUGUUUGUGAAAACUCUCCAGGGAGGAGGACCCCCUACCACACCUUAGGACGUCCAGCUCUUUGCCGCCCUUCUGGAGUGUCCCCACCUUCGUGUACAGUGCCACACCUGCAGGGUCUUGGAGGCACUCCAGGUGCUUCUGCUGCACUUCCCAGACAUGGCGCAUGCUGUCAUGGCUCACCAGACGCAGCCCUGUGGUGUCCGUCAGCUCCCACACUGAUUCCAGCAGCCCUGAGAUCAUGCCCCGCGUCUCCUCCACUCCACGGGUCCUCCUCCUGCAGUGCCUCUUCAGUUCGCCUGGACUGAUGGUGGCCAUGAGCUGCUCCUCAGUGGGAGUAUGCCCGCUGUGGCUGCUCUUCCACUCUUCUCUCUUGGCCUCCUUCAGGCGUUGCACAUCCUCCUGGUCCCAUGCAAAAAUGCAGGAGGAAAGCUUGGCACAGAAAAUACCAUACAGAGGGUGGUGUUCUGUUGUGAGGCCGCAGUUAAAGCGCCUCAUGAAGUGGAAGCUGUCCAAGCGCACUGUAGUUUGCCAUGGGUGAAACAGCU
ensembl:lncRNA